rnacentral:rRNA from 1 species
UGGGGUAUAUUGUACAAUGGGCGCAAGCCUGAUGCAGCAAUGCCGCGUGUAUGAAGAAGGCCUUCGGGUUGUAAAGUACUUUCAGCGGGGAGGAAGGCGAUAAGGUUAAUAACCUUGUCGAUUGACGUUACCCGCAGAAGAAGCACCGGCUAACUCCGUGCCAGCAGCCGCGGUAAUACGGAGGGUGCAAGCGUUAAUCGGAAUUACUGGGCGUAAAGCGCACGCAGGCGGUCUGUCAAGUCGGAUGUGAAAUCCCCGGGCUCAACCUGGGAACUGCAUUCGAAACUGGCAGGCUAGAGUCUUGUAGAGGGGGGUAGAAUUCCAGGUGUAGCGGUGAAAUGCGUAGAGAUCUGGAGGAAUACCGGUGGCGAAGGCGGCCCCCUGGACAAAGACUGACGCUCAGGUGCGAAAGCGUGGGGAGCAAACA